rnacentral:rRNA from 2 species
CAGCCGCCGCGGUAAAACCAGCACCUCAAGUGGUCAGGAUGAUUAUUGGGCCUAAAGCAUCCGUAGCCGGCUCUGUAAGUUUUCGGUUAAAUCUGUAUGCUCAACAUACAGGCUGCCGGGAAUACUGCAGAGCUAGGGAGUGGGAGAGGUAGACGGUACUCGGUAGGAAGGGGUAAAAUCCUUUGAUCUAUUGAUGACCACCUGUGGCGAAGGCGGUCUACCAGAACACGUCCGACGGUGAGGGAUGAAAGCUGGGGGAGCAAACCGGAUUAGAUACCCGGGUAGUCCCAGCUGUAUACUAUGCAAACUCGGUGAUGCAUUGGCUUGUGGCCAAUGCAGUGCUGCAGGGAAGCCGUUAAGUUUGCCGCCUGGGAAGUACGUACGCAAGUAUGAAACUUAAAGGAAUUGGCGGGGGCGCAC